rnacentral:lncRNA from 1 species
CCAUCCUCCUCAGCUUUCCAAGUUAUCCAGAUUCCCAGAGUGAAGCCUGAAAGCACAGAGCCACAGGAUGAAUUUGGGAUCUUGCCGCUUGUGCUGCUUUGCGUGUCUCCUUCAAUAAUGCAGUGCAAAAAAAUUGUCAGAUGUGGAAGAAGAAAAGAAGCAACAAUUUCUUGAUAAUAACAUGUUUUGAGAGCAGCGAAGCCUUUGAGAUCCGUACCCCCAUCUCACGUGCUGCUGCCUGCGCUCUGGCUUCACCCAGCUGCUGGAGAUCCUUGGCCCACAGCGUGGACAAUCAAGGAUGACAUAGCUGUAAGAAAGGAUUGGCUCAUGGAUGGAGCUCUCAGUGCUGAUGUUGCCAUCUCCUGAAGUUCAUUGUGGUUUUAAAUGCUCUGAGAGCAAUGGCUUUUCCCUGCAUCUGGAGGUAGUGAUUUUUCUCAUGUAUUUACUGGGGGUUAAGAAUGACCUAGAGGAAGUUACUGUGGGUCCGUUAACCUGGGUAAGUUGCCAAAACCCAGUAAUUA